ACGGAAUAGAUACCCUGGUAGUCCACGCCCUAAACGAUGUCUACUAGUUGUUGGUGGAGUAAAAUCCAUGAGUAAACGCAGCUAAACGCGUGAAGUAGACCGCCUGGGGAGUACGGUCGCAAGAUUAAAACUCAAAUGAAUUGACGGGGGCCCGCACAAGCGGUGGAUUAUGUGGAUUAAUUCGAUGCAACGCGAAAACCUUACCUGGCCUUGACAUGUAACGAACUUUCCAGAGAUGGAUUGGUGCUCGAAAGAGAACGUUAACACAGGUGCUGCAUGGCUGUCGUCAGCUCGUGUCGUGAGAUGUUGGGUUAAGUCCCGCAACGAGCGCAACCCUUGCCAUUAAUUGCCAUCAUUUAGUUGGGCACUUUAAUGGGACUGCCGGUGACAAACCGGAGGAAGGUGGGGAUGACGUCAAGUCCUCAUGGCCCUUAUGGCCAGGGCUUCACACGUAAUACAAUGGUCGGUACAGAGGGUUGCCAACCCGCGAGGGGAGGCCAAUCCCAGAAAGCCGAUCGUAGUCCGGAUUGUAGUCUGCAACUCGAC
rnacentral:rRNA from 1 species